UACGGAGGGGGCGAGCGUUGUCCGAAGUUACUGGGCGUAAAGCGCGUGUAGGCGGGUUGCCAAGUCCGCUGUGAAAGCCCGAGGCUCAACCUCGGAGGGUCGGUGGAUACUGGCAAUCUUGAAGGUGCUAGGGGGAGAUGGAAUUACCGGUGUAGCGGUGAAAUGCGUAGAUAUCCGGAGGAACACCAGUGGCGAAAGCGGACUCUCUGGGGGCAACCUGACGCUGAGGCGCGAAAGCGUGGGGAGCGAACCGG
rnacentral:rRNA from 1 species